AGAGUUUGAUCAUGGCUCAGAGCGAACGCUGGCGGCAGGCCUAACACAUGCAAGUCGAACGAAGUCUUCGGACUUAGUGGCGGACGGGUGAGUAACACGUGGGAACGUGCCUUUAGGUUCGGAAUAACUCAGGGAAACUUGUGCUAAUACCGAAUGUGCCCUUCGGGGGAAAGAUUUAUCGCCUUUAGAGCGGCCCGCGUCUGAUUAGCUAGUUGGUGAGGUAAAGGCUCACCAAGGCGACGAUCAGUAGCUGGUCUGAGAGGAUGAUCAGCCACAUUGGGACUGAGACACGGCCCAAACUCCUACGGGAGGCAGCAGUGGGGAAUCUUGCGCAAUGGGCGAAAGCCUGACGCAGCCAUGCCGCGUGAAUGAUGAAGGUCUUAGGAUUGUAAAAUUCUUUCACCGGGGACGAUAAUGACGGUACCCGGAGAAGAAGCCCCGGCUAACUUCGUGCCAGCAGCCGCGGUAAUACGAAGGGGGCUAGCGUUGCUCGGAAUUACUGGGCGUAAAGGGAGCGUAGGCGGACAUUUAAGUCAGGGGUGAAAUCCCGGGGCUCAACCUCGGAAUUGCCUUUGAUACUGGGUGUCUUGAGUGUGAGAGAGGUAUGUGGAACUCCGAGUGUAGAGGUGAAAUUCGUAGAUAUUCGGAAGAACACCAGUGGCGAAGGCGACAUACUGGCUCAUUACUGACGCUGAGGCUC
rnacentral:rRNA from 1 species